ensembl:misc_RNA Metazoa_SRP Metazoan signal recognition particle RNA
GCCAGGCAUGGUGGCGCAUACCUGUAAUCCCAGCUAUUCAGGAGGCUGAGGCACAAGAAUCACUUGAGCCCGGGAGGCAGAGGUUGCAGUGAGCUGAGGUCACGCCACUGCACUCCAUCCUGGGCAACAGAGUGAGACUUCGUCUCAA